GAUGAACGCUGGCGGCGUGCCUAAUACAUGCAAGUCGAGCGAACGGACGAGAAGCUUGCUUCUCUGAUGUUAGCGGCGGACGGGUGAGUAACACGUGGAUAACCUACCUAUAAGACUGGGAUAACUUCGGGAAACCGGAGCUAAUACCGGAUGGUAUUUUGAACCGCAUGGUUCAAAAGUGAAAGACGGUCUUGCUGUCACUUAUAGAUGGAUCCGCGCUGCAUUAGCUAGUUGGUAAGGUAACGGCUUACCAAGGCAACGAUGCAUAGCCGACCUGAGAGGGUGAUCGGCCACACUGGAACUGAGACACGGUCCAGACUCCUACGGGAGGCAGCAGUAGGGAAUCUUCCGCAAUGGGCGAAAGCCUGACGGAGCAACGCCGCGUGAGUGAUGAAGGUCUUCGGAUCGUAAAACUCUGUUAUUAGGGAAGAACAUACGUGUAAGUAACUGUGCACAUCUUGACGGUACCUAAUCAGAAAGCCACGGCUAACUACGUG
rnacentral:rRNA from 1 species